rnacentral:lncRNA from 1 species
GAAAAAUGUAUAGUAAAAUAAAUAAUAACGAAAUACACAAUAUAAUAAAUAUAAAUAUUAUAUUAAACAUUUAUCAUAAUAUUAGAAUAAGUAAAUAUAAAAUAUAAGAAAUUAAUAAUAAGUAAAUAUAGUAAAUAAGAAAUAAAAAUGUUACAUUAAAUAUAUAUUGUAAUAAUAUUAUCAUUGAUAUAAAAGCAUAUUAUCAUUGAUAUAAAAGCAAAAAAAAAAGAAUAAAUAAAUUUACAAAAUAAGAAAAGAUAAACAAUAAGUAAAUAUAUAAUAUAAAAAAGAAAAAACAAAAUUAAAAAUAUAUCUGAAAAAUGUAUAGUUAAAUAAAUAAUAAGUAAAUAUACAAUAUUAAAAUAUUAAAUUAGACAACUAUGACAUAUUAUAAUAAUUUAAUAUAAAAAAGAAAAAAUAAUAAUAAGUAAAUAUAAUAUAUAAAAAUGAAAAUAUUACAUUAAAUAUAUAUCAUAAUAUUAUAAUUGAUAUAACAAGAAAUUUAGAAUAAAUAAAUAUAUAAAAUAAAAAAAGAUAAACAGUAAGUACAUAUACAAUAUAAAAAUAGAAAAACUAAAUUAAACAUGUAUCUGAAAAGAUAUAGUUAAAUGGAAAAUGUAUCUAGGUCUGGGGUUCAAACACCAGACAAUACAAUUUCUACAAGAAGAGGUCUGAGUUUCAAUUCCCGGAAAAAGCGAAUUAUGUAGAAAAUUAGAGAAAAUGCUUACAAGAGAUCUUCAGCAUGGCGCAAGGAGUACCGUCAGGAAUUGAUCUCAUAGAGCUACUCAGGGUGAUGCAGUCAGGCGUGAAUCCUCAUAAAGCAGGUAGAAUUGUCGGCUGUAAUAUUGUCUAUAUAAUGUUUCUCAUAAUUUGUAAUAGCAUAACUAACCAGACAAAAAAAAAAUGGAAAAUGUAUAGUUAAAUAAAUAAUAAACAAAUAUACAAUAUAGGAAAUAUAAAUACUACAUUAAAAAUCUAUCAUAAUAUUACCAUUUGAUAUAAGAGAAAGAAAAUUAGAGUAAAUUAAUAGACAAUAUAGAGAAAUUUUCUAGGAUAGCCAUUUUAAUUUUUCUUUGUCCUAAAAUAGCCUUCAAUAAGAAAAAUUACCAAAAGAAGUUUUAUUUAAAAAGUAAAAAUACUUUUAUACCCUAGGAUUAACUAAUUUAAACUUAGGGUUUAGAGUUAAUGGAUGGAGUUUUAAAGAUAUAAUUCAAAUUAUAAAAAUAAACAAUUAAAAUUAAAAUUUUCAAAAUU